rnacentral:rRNA from 1 species
GCAUAUCAAUAAGCGGAGGAAAAGAAACCAACAGGGAUUGCCUCAGUAACGGCGAGUGAAGCGGCAACAGCUCAAAUUUGAAAUCUGGUCCCCUCUGGGGGCCCGAGUUGUAAUUUGAAGAGGAUGCUUUUGGCGAGGCGCCUUCCGAGUGCCCUGGAACGGGACGCCACAGAGGGUGAGAGCCCCGUAUGGUAGGACGCCGAGCCUCUGUAAAGCUCCUUCGACGAGUCGAGUAGUUUGGGAAUGCUGCUCAAAAUGGGAGGUAAACCCCUUCUAAAGCUAAAUAUUGGCCAGAGACCGAUAGCGCACAAGUAGAGUGAUCGAAAGAUGAAAAGCACUUUGAAAAGAGAGUUAAACAGCACGUGAAAUUGUUGAAAGGGAAGCGCUUGCGACCAGACUUGCGCCCGUCGGAUCAACCGUCCCUCGUGGGCGGCGCACUCCGGCGGGCUCAGGCCAGCAUCAGUUUUCCUGGGGGUAGAAAGGCGGUGGGAAUGUAGCUCUUCGGAGUGUUAUAGCCCGCCGUGUAAUGCCCUCGGGGGGACUGAGGACCGCGCGUAUGCAAGGAUGCUGGCGUAAUGGUCGUCAGCGACCCGUCUUGAAACACGGACCAAGGAGUCGUCCUAAUAUGCGAGUGUACGGGUGUAAAACCCCUGCGCGUAAUGAAAGUGAACGGAGGUGAGAGCUUCGGCGCAUCAUCGACCGAUCCUGAUGUUCUCGGAUGGAUUUGAGUAAGAGCAUAUUGGGCCGGACCCGAAAGAAGGUGAACUAUGCCUGUAUAGGGUGAAGCCAGAGGAAACUCUGGUGGAGGCUCGCAGCGGUUCUGACGUGCAAAUCGAUCGUCAAAUAUGGGCAUGGGGGGCGAAAGACUAAUCGAACCUUCUAGUAGCUGGUUUCCGCCGAAGU